UAACAAUGCAAAGAAGUAUCCAAGUACUGAAGUUUUACACCUAAAAUUUUAAUUUAAUGACAAAUGCUUUCUGGAUACUUUAGAUAAAAUUCUGGCUGCAUCAAUGGGAGUUUUGACCCCAAAAGAGUGAAGUUUUCACUUAACUACAUAAUUUAAAACAAAUCAGUAAUUGUGGAGAAAAAAAUUCUGAUUAGCUACCAUUUUGUUGGAUGGUCUUUAAAGCUGCACUAAAACUGAUGAUAUCUGUACUGUUGUGGCACAAUGAAGAAAAUGAAUGAGAGAAACUCAUGCUUAGCUCUGUAGUAUAUGAUGCUAUACGUAAGUACAUAAAACCAACAAAAGCACCCCAAAACUUAUAAUAGGUGAAGGGGCAUUCACUGAAAUGGUGUAUCCAGAGAAAUGAAGCAAUCAUUGGGAUACGAUUUACUGCUGUGCAUAUUUUAAAGUGACUGAACAACACUGGAUUAACAGCACACAUUUGCAAAAAAAAA